UACAGAGGUCCCGAGCGUUGUUCGGAUUCAUUGGGCGUAAAGGGUGCGUAGGCGGUGGGGUAAGUUGGAUGUGAAAUCUUGGGGCUUAACCUCAAAAUUGCAUUCAAUACUGCUCCGCUUGAGUUCUGUAGAGGAGAUUGGAAUUUACGGUGUAGCAGUGAAAUGCGUAGAUAUCGUAAGGAACGCCAGUGGCGAAAGCGAAUCUCUGGGCAGCAACUGACGCUGAGGCACGAAGGCCAGGGGAGCAAACGGG
rnacentral:rRNA from 1 species